rnacentral:tRNA from 1 species
GGAGAGGUGCCGGAGUGGUUGAACGGGGCGGUCUCGAAAACCGUUGUGGGUGUGAACUCACCGAGGGUUCAAAUCCCUCUCUCUCCG